rnacentral:misc_RNA from 1 species
CCAAUGAUGCAGAUGGGAAUCAGGAUUCUAGUUGGGGCAAGAAAAACAAUUUUAAAGCUGAAUCCAGUGAUGCUAACCAAAUUUCUGGUUGUGGCAAGAAAAGUAGCUGGAACUCUGGAUCUGGUGAUGCAAGCUGGAAUUCUUCUGGAUGGGGCAAGAAAAGUAGUUGGAACCCUGGAGAUAGUGAUGUCAACCGGGAUUCUUUUGUAGCCAGUGGUGAAGACCAAACUGAGAAUUCUAGUUAUGGCUCAGGUGGUGGGAAUUCGAGGGGUGGUUUCAAAGGCAGAGGUGGUUCUUUUGACAGAGGAGGCCUUAGAGGUAGAGGGGAGAGAGGAGGUUUUGGGGGUAGAAAUGGUUCAGACAGAGGCUUUGGAGGCAGAGGUAGAUCUAACGGAGGAGGAUUUGGAUGUAGAGGUGGUUCAGAUAGAGGAGGUUUUGGUGGUAGAGAUAGAUUUGACAGAGGAUAUGGUGGCAGAGGUGGUGGAAGGAGGGAUCAUAGUAGUUGGAAUGAAAAUAAUGAUUCUGGUGAUGACAAGGCCUUCGACUGGAAGAAUAGGACAAACAAUGCUGGCGGAGGAUGGAAAACUAGUGGUGGAAGCAGCUGGAACCAAGGAGGUGCUGAUAAGAGCCAAUUGCAGAGUUGGAAUUCCCAAAAUGAUGGAAGUAGCAAUCAAAGUGGUGGUUGGGGCAAGGGCACUAGUGCAGUUGGGGAAUCUAAUGAUUCAUGGGGUAAAUCAUCAGCAAGCUCUUGGGGAAACAAGGGAGAUG